rnacentral:pre_miRNA from 1 species
AAUAAGAUCAUUUUUCAAUUUUUUGAAACAAUGUUUUGACUCUUCGUCUUAUUUGAAAUUUUUUUGCGAUUAAUAUUUUUAUUCUUAGAUGAUAAAACAUGAAUAGUACUUUACGCGUGACUAAUUUUUUUAAGUUUCUGUACAAAUUUUUCAAAUAAGGCGAAUGGUCAAACAUUGGACACGGAAAAACA